rnacentral:lncRNA from 1 species
UCAGCAGUUAUAGGAACAGGAGUGUGAAGGAUCCCUUGCAUUCUGAUGUAAUGUACAUCUGUUCAGGAAAAAUCAGACCAUUUAGAGCAGGCAAAAUAAACAUCCAGUACAUGAACAGGAGAAAGGAGUCCUCAGUCCUGACUUUCAGUCUGCACUUGCAAACAUAGACUUCGGCUGUCUCCAUCUGUGACAAUGAAUGUAAUAAUGUUUGUUUUCUUUAUAACCACUAUAAUCGGCAAACACAAUCCUCACAUACAGCCAUGUGUUCUGUGCAUGCCACGAUUGAAAUGUACAAACAGUGCAUGCGUGUCUGGCUUGCAUGCAGUACAUAAGCGUCCAUUAUGCCUACUGUACAGUACAUAACAAUCACAUUAUGCAUACUGUACAUACAUAACCAAUCACAUUAUGCAUACUGUACAAUACAUAACCAAUCACAUUAUGCAUACUGUACAAUACAUAACCAAUCACAUUAUGCAUACUGUACAAUAUAUAACCAAUCACUUAUGCAUAUGUACAAUAUACACCAAGCAACAUUAUGCUACUGU